rnacentral:rRNA from 1 species
UACCAGCACCCCGAGUGGUCGGGACGAUUAUUGGGCCUAAAGCAUCCGUAGCCGGUCCUGCAAGUCUUCCGUUAAAUCCAGCUGCUCAACAGAUGGGCUGCGGGGGAUACUACAGGGCUAGGAGGCGGGAGAGGCAAGCGGUACUUUAUGGGUAGGGGUAAAAUCCGUUGAUCCAUGGAAGACCACCAGUGGCGAAGGCGGCUUGCCAGAACGCGCUCGACGGUGAGGGAUGAAAGCUGGGGGAGCAAACCGG